ACGUUUUUGCAACCGCCCGGUCCGGGCCGAUAAACGGUCGUUUGACCUGCCUUUUGACCGGCGAGUCUCAAGAAUGUG
rfam:Syntrophothermus lipocalidus DSM 12680, complete genome.